UGUUGGUAACCUCUGGCAUAUCCAG
rnacentral:piRNA from 1 species